UGAACUUUUAGAUGGAAUUCGCACCUGUGAACUUGCUCUUUCAUGUGAAAAGAUAAGCGAGGUCAUUGUCAGAGAUUGGUUGGUUUGCCUUGCAAAACAGAAAAAUGGAAUUUUAGCUCAAAAAGUAGAAUCUAAAAUCAACACAGAUGUACAACUAGAUUCUCAAGAGAAAAUUGGAGUUAAAGAAGAAUCGCAUUCUGAUUUUCCAUAUGGAUCAUUUCCCUAUGUUGCUAGACCAGUACACUGGCAACCUGGUCAUACAGCUUUUCUUGUCAAGUUGAGGAAGGUCAAACCACAACUUAACUGAGUACUCCAGAUGACAGUAACUGACUUGAAGAUGGAAAAAUAUCAAAAUAGAACUUUAUAUUGAAAAUCACUGCUUCCAUAGAUUGGCAUUUUUAGCUAUUACUAUGACUUAUAUAACUUAUACAUAUAAUUUUGAAAAUAACAACUAAAAGAUGUAUAACAUAGCAAAACUGCUUAAACAUCCCAUUUUGACACUUGUCUUGCAGUUAGUUUGACAUUUUGUAGUUAAUGAUUCCAAAUUGGUUUAGUUGGGCCAUCUCAUUCUUCACUUCCUGUAAACCACUCCAUAGAUUUGUCUUUCUUCAAGAAAUUAGUUUUCUUUCCUUUAUUUGAUUGAUGGUCAUUGACUACUGAAAUAAAAUAUGCAUUUUAAGAUAAA
rnacentral:lncRNA from 1 species